GCAAGGGAAUUCUGUGAUAUGUGCUCCUUCCUCACAGGACUGGGCCAAAUGUUCCAGAGUAUCAGCAUUUCUGAUGAUUAUCUACUGAGAGAAAGACCUCCCCAUUUUUACAGUUCUCCAGGAAGAAAGAGAGAAAGGAUAAGAAGGUCCAGAAUCUGCAUGGCUGAGCACUGGAGUCAGUAAGAAAGAUAUACUGGUUACUGACUCCUGUAGCAUACACCGGCCAUUGCACCAUGCACCUACUGCCUUGCACCCACAUCAAACCGAAACAUCAAGACACCCCGACUACCAUCAGGGCAAAGGACAUUUUUGGGAAAUCCAGUGAUGGAACGGGCUCUCCAUGGAGAACGAUAGGCUACCCUUGCUCAGAGUGAAGUCAACGUCUCUGAUGGUCAAGAUAGGGGUAAAGCCUGACCAUAGGAGCCAGUGAAGUCACAGUGAACAAUACUACUCCAGAGCCUCCAAAGCCUUUGGCCUGCGCAAUCAAGAGCUGCG